rnacentral:rRNA from 1 species
UACAGAGGUCUCAAGCGUUGUUCGGAUUCAUUGGGCGUAAAGGGUGUGUAGGUGGCGCCGUAAGUCGGGUGUGAAAUCUCGGAGCUUAACUCCGAAACUGCAUUCGAUACUGCCGUGCUUGAGGACUGGAGAGGAGACUGGAAUUUACGGUGUAGCGGUGAAAUGCGUAGAUAUCGUAAGGAAGACCAGUGGCGAAGGCGGGUCUCUGGACAGUUCCUGACGCUGAGGCACGAAGGCCAGGGGAGCAAACGGGG